UGUCAAGAAGACUGCAGUAGCAGCUGCUGGCACUACUGGUGGACAAUGCCCCGUCUGGCAGUGUUGGGUCAGCUCCUCCAGCUUUCCCAGCAGCAGUUCCUGCAGCUGGUGCUCCUGCUCCAUUUCGCGUUGUGCGAGCUGGUGUAGAUCACACUCGACCCGUACCGGCCGCUGAUGCUGCUGUUCCAGCAGCGGUUCUUGUAGCAGGCCCACCGGAGGCACCUUCCGAGUGUGUGCCAGUGAUUGCAGAGGUCGAUGAUGAGGUUCACCUUGGUCACGGUGUCUUGGUGCAAAAGUACAAACUGUCCUACGUCAGGGGAGCCCGGGGAGACUCCAUCUUCGUUAAAGAGGCUACGAAGCUGAUCUUCGGCAGGGAGGACCUGCAUGGGCCGAGUGUGAGGUGUGCCAUGACGGCGCUUUAAGGGCGCCAUGGCCAAGAGGGCCCUGACUCCAGUCAGUCAAGUUGGCAGCAGUCAGCAAUGCCUUCAACGAGUACAUAUGAAGGCAUCCUCGAGAGGCCUCUCCAGGGAAGAGGACAGCUCGGGUCAACCUACUGCAGUAUGCCAAUGUGUUAAUAUCCUACUGCAGGAUAUUAACAAGAAGCUUGACUUCUAAGUUUGCUUAGAGGUUAAG